CGAGAUCGCUAGUAUAAAACAAGGCGAGCGGCCAUACUUCUUUCUUUCAGUCUACUGCAACACUGAGGAAACAUGUUCGAUGGCUUCAUGAUGCUGAAGUAAAGCCGCCUUCUGAAGUUCUGGGAAUGGCUGUUCUGUUAACCCCGGCUUUAGUGUAGGUGCUCAACAAAUUGCAUCCUUUUGUAUGUUAAAUGAGACUUGAUCAAAACAUGAAUAUAAUUUAGUUUUAUUGAUAUGUCUUUGUUAGCAUACGAGUCCUCUGUAUCUUGUAACUUCUGUGUUGAGAACAAGUUCCAAUAAACUGUGACCCUAA